rnacentral:rRNA from 1 species
AUUGAACGCUGGCGGCAGGCCUAACACAUGCAAGUCGAACGAGUGGCGGACGGGUGAGUAAUGUCUGGGAAACUGCCCGAUGGAGGGGGAUAACUACUGUAAACGGUAGCUAAUACCGCAUACCAUCGGAUGUGCCCAGAUGGGAUUAGCUUGUAGGUGAGGUAACGGCGCACCUAGGCGACGAUCCCUAGCGGGUCUGAGAGGAGGACCAGCACGCGUGGAACGGAGACACGGGCCAGACUCCUACGGGAGGCAGCAGUGGGGAAUAUGGCACAAUGGGCGCAAGCCUGAUGCAGCCAUGCCGCGGGUAUGAAGAAGGCCUUCGGGUUGUAAAGUACUUUCAGCGGGGAGGCGUUACCCGCAGAAGAAGCACCGGCUAACUCCGUGCCAGCAGCCGCGGUAAUAC